ACGAACGCUGGCGGCGUGGAUAAGACAUGCAAGUCGAACGGGAGAAUUGCUAGCUUGCUAAUAAUUCUCUAGUGGCGCACGGGUGAGUAACACGUGAGUAACCUGCCUCUUAGUGGGGGAUAGCCCUGGGAAACCGGGAUUAAUACCGCAUACGAUUGAAAGAUCAAAGCAGCAAUGCGCUAGGAGAUGGGCUCGCGGCCUAUUAGUUAGUUGGUGAGGUAACGGCUCACCAAGGCGAUGACGGGUAGCCGGUCUGAGAGGAUGUCCGGCCACACUGGAACUGAGACACGGUCCAGACACCUACGGGUGGCAGCAGUCGAGAAUCAUUCACAAUGGGGGCAACCCUGAUGGUGCGACGCCGCGUGGGGGAAUGAAGGUCUUCGGAUUGUAAACCCCUGUCAUGUGGGAGCAAAUUAAAAAGAUAGUACCACAAGAGGAAGAGACGGCUAACUCUGUGCCAGCAGCCGCGGUAAUACAGAGGUCUCAAGCGUUGUUCGGAAUCACUGGGCGUAAAGCGUGCGUAGGCUGUUUCGUAAGUCGUGUGUGAAAGGCAGGGGCUCAACCCCUGGAUUGCACAUGAUACUGCGAGACUAGAGUAAUGGAGGGGGAACCGGAAUUCUCGGUGUAGCAGUGAAAUGCGUAGAUAUCGAGAGGAACACUCGUGGCGAAGGCGGGUUCCUGGACAUUAACUGACGCUGAGGCACGAAGGCCAGGGGAGCGAAAGGGAUUAGAUACCCCUGUAGUCCUGGCAGUAAACGGUGCACGCUUGGUGUGCGGGGAAUCGACCCCCUGCGUGCCGGAGCUAACGCGUUAAGCGUGCCGCCUGGGGAGUACGGUCGCAAGAUUAAAACUCAAAGAAAUUGACGGGGACCCGCACAAGCGGUGGAGUAUGUGGCUUAAUUCGAUGCAACGCGAAGAACCUUACCUGGGCUUGACAUGUAAUGAACAGCAUGUGAAAGCAUGCGACUCUUCGGAGGCGUUACACAGGUGCUGCAUGGCCGUCGUCAGCUCGUGUCGUGAGAUGUUUGGUUAAGUCCAGCAACGAGCGCAACCCCUGUUGCCAGUUACCAGCACGUCAAGGUGGGGACUCUGGCGAGACUGCCCAGAUCAACUGGGAGGAAGGUGGGGACGACGUCAGGUCAGUAUGGCCCUUAUGCCCAGGGCUGCACACGUACUACAAUGCCCAGUACAGAGGGGGCCGAAGCCGCGAGGCGGAGGAAAUCCUGAAAACUGGGCCCAGUUCGGACUGUAGGCUGCAACCCGCCUACACGAAGCCGGAAUCGCUAGUAAUGGCGCAUCAGCUACGGCGCCGUGAAUACGUUCCCGGGUCUUGUACACACCGCCCGUCACAUCAUGGAAGCCGGUCGCACCCGAAGUAUCUGAAGCCAACCGCAAGGAGGCAGGGUCCUAAGGUGAGACUGGUAACUGGGAUG
rnacentral:rRNA from 1 species